UAACAGCUCACUGGUCGAGUGGACAUGCGCCGACAAUACACGGGGCUAAGCUGGACACCGAAGCGGCGGGAUUUUAAUUCAUUAGAAUCGGUAGGGGAGCUUCCCAUGGGCGGAGAAGCCGGAGGGCGACCGACGGUGGAGCGCAUGGGAGUGAGAAUGCUGGCAUGAGUAGCGAGAGACGAGAGAGUAACUCGUCCGCCGUGAACCCGAGGUUUCCUGGGCAAGGCUAAUCCUCCCAGGGUCAGUCGGGGGCUAAGGCGAGGCCGGGAGGCGUAGCCGACGCGCAGCAGGCAGACAUUCCUGCACCGCGCACGCGGCGCUACGACCGACGGGGCGACGGAUGGGGGUGGCUCGGCGGGGUUCUGGACGUCCCCGUGAUGGAGCGCGGCCCGCGGACCAGGGAAAUCCGGUCCGCAUUGAGGGCGAGGCUCCGGACGAAGCGACUGAGCGAAGCGAGUGAGCCCGAGGUCCCUAGAAAAACCCCUAGGCAGGCGCGUGCGCGCCCGUACCGCAAACCGACACAGGUGGGUGGGUAGAACAUACCGAGGCGAUCGGGUCAACCAUGGUCAAGGAACUCGGCACAAUGGCCCCGUAACUUCGGGAGAAGGGGUGCCCGCGCGUACGUGAACCGGCUUGCCCGGGGAGCGGAGGCGGGCCGCAGUGGAGAGGCCCAAGCGACUGUUUACCAAAAACACAGGACUCUGCAGAAGCCGCAAGGCGACGUAUAGGGUCUGACGCCUGCCCGGUGCCGGAAGGUCACGCGGAGGAGUUAGCGCAUCGCGCGAAGCCCCGAAGCCAAGCCCCGGUAAACGGCGGCCGUAACUAUAACGGUCCUAAGGUAGCGAAAUUCCUUGUCGGGUAAGUUCCGACCUGCACGAAAGGCGCAACGACUUGGGCGCUGUCUCGACCAUGGACCCGGUGAAAUUGCACUGGUCGUGAAGAUGCGACUUACCCGCGGAAGGACGGAAAGACCCCGUGAACCUUCACUGCAGCUUGGCAUUGGCCGCUGGUCCCGCGUGUAGAGGAUAGGCAGGAGGCUAAGAUCCGGAGGCGCCAGCCCCCGGGGAGCCGCCCUUGGAAUACUGCCCUCGCGCGACCGGCGUCCUAACCCGAGGCCGUCAACCGGCUCGGGGACCGUGCCAGGCGGGCAGUUUGACUGGGGCGGUCGCCUCCUAAAGGGUAACGGAGGCGCGCGAAGGUCCGCUCGGGACGGUCGGCAACCGUCCUUUUGAAUGCAAGAGUACAAGCGGGCUUGACUGCGAGGCCCACAAGCCGAGCAGGUGCGAAAGCAGGCUCUAGUGAUCCGGCGGCCCCGAGUGGGUGGGCCGUCGCUCAACGGAUAAAAGGUACUCCGGGGAUAACAGGCUGAUCUUGCCCAAGAGUCCACAUCGACGGCAAGGUUUGGCACCUCGAUGUCGGCUCAUCGCAUCCUGGGGCUGGAGUCGGUCCCAAGGGUUGGGCUGUUCGCCCAUUAAAGCGGUACGCGAGCUGGGUUCAGAACGUCGUGAGACAGUUCGGUCCCUAUCCUCCGUGGGCGCAGGAGAAUCGAUGGAGGCUGCCCCCAGUACGAGAGGACCGGGGUGGACGCACCUCCGGUGAACCGGUUGUCGACCAACGGCACGGCCGGGUAGCCGCGUGCGGCGCGGAUAACCGCUGAAGGCAUCUAAGCGGGAAGCCGUUCCAGGGAUUAGUUCUCCUUCCGGUAAGGGCCCAGGUAGACUACCUGGUCGAUAGACGGCAGGUGCAAGGCUGGCGACAGCCUCAGCCGAGCCGCACUAAUCGCCCGAGCUCUUCCGGA
rnacentral:rRNA from 1 species